GAAUAAUCCGCGAUAGAUCUUAGUUCCUGGAAUGGUUUAUGGUCGAAAUGAUUCGUCGCCAUAGGAUGGGACUGCGGCCUAUCAGCUUGUUGGUGAGGUAAUGGCUCACCAAGGCUAUUACAGGUACGGGCUCUGAGAGGAGAAGCCCGGAGAUGGGUACUGAGACACGGACCCAGGCCCUAUGGGGCGCAGCAGGCGAGAAACCUUUGCAAUGUGCGCAAGCACGACAAGGUUAAUCCGAGUGUUUCCUGCUAAAGGAAUCUUUUGUUAGUUCUAAAACCACUGAUGAAUAAGAGGUGGGCAAGUUCUGGUGUCAGCCGCCGCGGUAAAACCAGCACCUCAAGUGGUCAGGAGGAUUAUUGGGCCUAAAGCAUCCGUAGCCGGUUCUGUAAGUUUUCGGUUAAAUCCACUAGCUCAACUAAUGGGCUGCCGAAAAUACUGCAGAACUAGGGAGUGGGAGAGGUAGACGGUACUCGGUAGGAAGGGGUAAAAUCCUUUUGAUCUAUUGAUGACCACCUGUGGGCGAAAGGCGGUCUACCAGAAACACGUUUCGACCGGUUAAGGGAUGAAAAGCUGGGGGGAGCAAACCCGGAAUAAGAUACCCCGGGGUAAGUCCCCAGCUUGUAAAACGAAUGCAGAACUCCGGUUGAUGGCAAUUGGGCUUUGUUGGCCAGUUGCAAGUGCCCGCAAGGGAAAACCCGUUUAAAGUUUUGGCCCGCCCGGGGGAAAGGUAACGUUACCCCCACGUAUUGAAAAACUUAAAAAGGGAAUUUGGGCCGGGGGGGAAGCCAC
rnacentral:rRNA from 1 species